rnacentral:rRNA from 1 species
GUAGGUGGCAAGCGUUGUCCGGAAUUAUUGGGCGUAAAGCGCGCGCAGGCGGUUCUUUAAGUCUGAUGUGAAAGCCCACGGCUCAACCGUGGAGGGUCAUUGGAAACUGGAGAACCUGAGUACAGAAGAGGAAAGCGGAAUUCCACGUGUAGCGGUGAAAUGCGUAGAGAUGUGGAGGAACACCAGUGGCGAAGGCGGCUUUCUGGUCUGUAACUGACGCUGAGGCGCGAAAGCGUGGGGAGCAAACAGGAUUAGAUACCCUGGUAGUCCACGCCGUAAACGAUGAGUGCUAAGUGUUAGGGGGUUUCCGCCCCCCUUAGUGCUGCGGCUAACGCAUUAAGCACUCCGCCUGGGGAGUACGGCCGCAAGGCUG